UUCCCAUAUAUCCCAUAGGAUUUCCAAUCAAUCAAAACCAUGGAUACCAAAGCCUUUCCAAAUCAUUUAAUUAAAUCAAACCAUUUAGGGUUCAAUUACUAUAUUAUUCAAUGCAAGGUUUUCAAUAAAAGUCAAACUAUGUGACAAAGAUAUUCUCAUUGACAUUUUAACAAACAUGUUGAGGGCAUAUAGUUAACAAAACAAAAAUCAAUGUAUCAAUUGACUGUUCACAU
rnacentral:lncRNA from 1 species